rnacentral:rRNA from 1 species
GACAGAGGGUGCAAACGUUGUUCGGAAUUACUGGGCGUAAAGCGCGUGUAGGCUGCUCGGAAAGUCGGAUGUGAAAGCCCUGGGCUUAACCCAGGAAGUGCAUUCGAAACUCCCGAGCUUGAGUCUCGGAGAGGAAGGCGGAAUUCUCGGUGUAGAGGUGAAAUUCGUAGAUAUCGAGAGGAACACCUGCGGCGAAGGCGGGUUGCUGGGCUGACACUGACGCUGAGGCGCGAAAGCUAGGGGAGCGAACGGG